UACGGAGGGUGCGAGCGUUGUCCGGAAUCAUUGGGCGUAAAGGGCGCGUAGGUGGCCCGGUCAGCGUGCGGUGAAAGCUCGGGGCUCAACCCCGAGUCGGCCGUGCGAACUGCUGGGCUCGAGCACUGUAGAGGCAGGCGGAAUUCCUGGUGUAGCGGUGGAAUGCGCAGAUAUCAGGAAGAACACCGAUGGCGAAGGCAGCUCUCUGGGACGGUACUGACGCUGAGACGCGAAAGCGUGGGGAGCGAACAGG
rnacentral:rRNA from 1 species